rnacentral:rRNA from 1 species
GAUGACGACCGGCGCACGGGUGCGUAACGCGUAUACAAUCUACCUUAUACUAAAGGAUAGCCCAGAGAAAUUUGGAUUAACACUUUAUAGUUUUACAAAUAGGCAUCUAUUUAUAAAUAAAGAUUACGGUAUAAGAUGAGUAUGCGUCCUAUUAGCUAUUAUGUAGGGUAACGGCUUACAUAGGCUAUGAUAGGUAGGGGUUCUGAGAGGGAAAUCCCCCACACUGGUACUGAGACACGGACCAGACUCCUACGGGAGGCAGCAGUGAGGAAUAUUGGACAAUGGGAGCAAUCCUGAUCCAGCCAUGCCGCGUGCAGGAAGACAGUCCUAUGGAUUGUAAACUGCUUUUAUACAGGAAGAAAAAGCCCGACGUGUCGGGUGUUGACGGUACUGUAUGAAUAAGGAUCGGCUAACUCCGUGCCAGCAGCCGCGGUAAUACGGAGGAUCCGAGCGUUAUCCGGAAUUAUUGGGUUUAAAGGGUCCGUAGGCGGGAUAAUAAGUCAGUGGUGAAAGUUUGUGGCUCAACCAUAAAAUUGCCAUUGAUACUGUUAUUCUUGAGUUAUUGUGAAGUGGUUAGAAUGUGUAGUGUAGCGGUGAAAUGCAUAGAUAUUACACAGAAUACCAAUUGCGAA